AAAGUCCUCAAGUGGUUGGGGGAAUCUCAAACAGGAGAAGAAAAGGAAUAGCCCUAUCAGAGCAUGGAGCCAUUAUUAAUAAGGUACCUCAAGUCAUUCUCCCAUAGGCAGAAGUUUUCUUCAUUCACCUGCCAGAAACCAGGAGUUCUUCAGAACUGUAAAGCACAUGGAAUAGGUACUAUGUUUUUCCCUCCGUGUCUACCUAAUGCCAGGUUCAGAGGUUCAGUCCAUUAUCAUCAAGGUGGGAACAUGGCAGCAUCCAGGUAGACAUGGUGCAAGAGGACCUGAGAGUUCUACAUCUUCAUCUGAAGGCUGCUAGCAGAAUACUGACUUCCAGGCAACUAGGAUGAGGGUGUUAAGCCCACAGCCACAAUAACACACUCUGACAAGGCCACAUCUCCUAAUAGUGCCAGGAGGAGGAGGAGGAGGAGGAGGAGGAGGAGGAGGAGGAGGAGGAGGAGAAGGAGAAGGAGAAGGAGAAGGAGAAGGAGAAGGAGAAGGAGAAGGAGAAGGAGAAGGAGAAGGAGAAGGAGAAGGAGAAGGAGAAGAAGAAGAAGAAGAAGAAGAAGAAGAAGAAGAAGAAGAAGAAGAAGAAGAAGAAGAAGAAGAAGAAAGAGGAGGAGGAGGAGGAGG
rnacentral:lncRNA from 1 species